GAUGAACGCUGGCGGCGUGCCUAAUACAUGCAAGUCGAGCGAACAGACGAGGAGCUUGCUCCUCUGACGUUAGCGGCGGACGUGUGAGUAACACGUGGAUAACCUACCUAUAAGACUGGGAUAACUUCGGGAAACCGGAUCUAAUACCGUAUAAUAUAUUGCACCACAUUGUUCAAUAGUGAAAGACGGCUUUGCUGUCACUUAUAGAUGGAUCUGCGCCGCAUUAGCUAGUUGGUAAGGUAACGGCUUACCAAGGCAACGAUGCGUAGCCGACCUGAGAGGGUGAUCGGCCACACUGGAACGGAGACACGGUCCAGACUACUACGGGAGGCAGCAGUAGGGAAUCUUACGCAAUGGGCGAAAGCCUGACGGAGCAACGCCGCGUGAGUGAUGAAGGUCUUCGGAUCGUAAAACUCUGUUAUUAGGGAAGAACAAAUGUGUAAGUAACUAUGCACGUAUUGACGGUAACUAAUAAGAAAGCCACGGCUAACUACGUG
rnacentral:rRNA from 1 species